UGCCAGCAGCCGCGGUAAUACGGAGGGGGCAAGCGUUGCUCGGAAUUACUGGGCGUAAAGCGAGCGUAGGCGGUUAGUCAAGUUGGUGGUGAAAGCCCAGAGCUCAACUCUGGAACUGCCAUCAAAACUGACUUACUUGAGAUUGGUAGAGGGAAAUGGAAUUCCUAGUGUAGAGGUGAAAUUCGUAGAUAUUGGGAAGAACAUCGGUGGCGAAAGCGAUUUCCUGGGCCAAUUCUGACGCUGAGGUACGAAAGCGUGGGUAGCAAACAGGAUUAGAUA
rnacentral:rRNA from 1 species